rnacentral:rRNA from 1 species
CAGCCGUAAACAAUGUGCGUUAGGUGUGUCGGUAACCACGUGUUACUGAUGCGCCGAAGAGAAAUCGUGAAGCGCACCACCUGGGAAGUACGGUCGCAAGGCUGAAACUUAAAGGAAUUGGCGGGGGAGCACCACAACAGGUGGAGCCUGCGGUUUAAUUGGAUUCAACGCCGGACAUCUCACCGGAUAAGACAGCUGAAUGAUUGUCAAUCUGAAGGUUUUACAUGACUAGCUGAGAGGAGGUGCAUGGCGUCAGUGACU